rnacentral:rRNA from 1 species
AGAACGAACGUUAGCGGCGCGCUUAACACAUGCAAGUCGAGCGAGAAAGGGCUUCGGCCCCGGUACAGCGGCGCACGGGUGAGUAACACGUAGGUAAUCUGCCCCCAGGUGGUGGAUAACCUUCCGAAAGGAGGGCUAAUACAGCAUAAGACCACGAUUCCGAAAGGGAUUGAGGUCAAAGCCGGCCUCUUCAUGAAAGCUGGCGCCAGGGGAUGAGCCUGCGGCCCAUCAGCUAGUUGGUAGGUAAUGGCUACCGAGCGUAGACGGUAGCUGGUCUGAGAGGAUGAUCAGCCACACUGGAACUGAGACACGGUCCAGACUCCUACGGGAGCAGCAGUGGGAAUCUUGCGCAAUGGGACGAAAGCCUGACGCAGCGACGCCGCGUGAGUGAUGAAGGCCCGUCGGUUAGUAAAGCGUCGUGUGGAGGGGACGAAGUAACGGUGUUAGGACUAACGAGUCCGAG